AGAGUUUGAUUAUGGCUCAGAACGAACGCUGGCGGCAUGCCUAAUACAUGCAAGUCGAACGAGGUCUUCGGACCUAGUGGCGCACGGGUGAGUAACAUGUGGGAAUCUACCUGAAGGUUCGGAAUAACUGCGGGAAACUGUAGCUAAUACCGGAUGUGUCUGCAAAGAGAAAGAUUUAUCGCCUUUAGAUGAGCCCGCACUAGAUUAGCUUGUUGGUGAGGUAAGUGCUCCACCAAGGCUACGAUCUAUAGCUGAUUUGAGAGGAUGAUCAGCCACACUGGGACUGAGACACGGCCCAGACUCCUACGGGAGGCAGCAGUAGGGAAUAUUGGACAAUGGGGGAAACCCUGAUCCAGCAAUGCCGCGUGAGUGAAGAAGGCCUUCGGGUUGUAAAACUCUUUCAUCAAUGAUGAUAAUGACAUUAAUUGAAGAAGAAGCUCCGGCUAACUCCGUGCCAGCAGCCGCGGUAAUACGGAGGGGGCUAGCGUUGUUCGGAAUCACUGGGCGUAAAGCGUAUGUAGGCGGAUCAAAAAGUUAGAUGUGAAAUCCCUGGGCUCAACCCAGGAACUGCAUUUAAAACUAGUGAUCUAGAAUUUGGUAGGGGUUAGUAGAAUUUCCAGUGUAGAGGUGAAAUUCGUAGAUAUUGGAAAGAAUACCAGUGGCGAAGGCGACUAACUGGGCCAUUUUUGACGCUGAGAUACGAAAGCGUGGGUAGCAAACAGGAUUAGAUACCCUGGUAGUCCACGCAGUAAACGAUGAGUGCUAGUCGCUGGGACAAUAGUUUCAGUGUCGAAGCUAACGCAUUAAGCACUCCGCCUGGGAAGUACGGUCGCAAGAUUAAAACUCAAAUAAAUUGACGGGGGCCCGCACAAGCGGUGGAGCAUGUGGUUUAAUUCGAAGCAACGCGAAGAACCUUACCAGACCUUGACAUGGUGUGUAUG
rnacentral:rRNA from 1 species